GACGAAGGAUGCAAGCGUUAUCCGGAUUCAUUGGGUUUAAAGGGUGCGUAGGCGGACUUGCAAGUCAGUGGUGAAAUCUCCGGGCUUAACUCGGAAACUGCCAUUGAUACUGCAGAUCUUGAGUACAGAUGAUGUUGGCGGAAUAUGACAUGUAGCGGUGAAAUGCAUAGAUAUGUCAUAGAACACCGAUUGCGAAGGCAGCUGACAAAACUGUAACUGACGCUGAGGCACGAAAGUGUGGGGAUCAAACAGGAUUAGAAACCCCCGUAGUCC
rnacentral:rRNA from 1 species